UACGUAGGGUGCGAGCGUUGUCCGGAAUUAUUGGGCGUAAAGAGCUCGUAGGCGGUCUGUCACGUCUGCGGUGAAAACCCGGGGCUCAACCCCGGGCCUGCCGUGGAUACGGGCUGACUAGAGUUCGGCAGGGGAGAUCGGAAUUCCUGGUGUAGCGGUGAAAUGCGCAGAUAUCAGGAGGAACACCGGUGGCGAAGGCGGAUCUCUGGGCCGACACUGACGCUGAGGAGCGAAAGCGUGGGGAGCGAACAGG
rnacentral:rRNA from 1 species